GGACCAGACCACAUGGAGCGUCAGCGGACUUUUAAUCCAUUGGUUGUGGGUUCGAGUCCCACACGGCCUA
rnacentral:tRNA from 1 species